GGGGUUGUUACGGAUUCGACAGGCAUUAUGAGACAUGUUUUGCGACCCAUCGGCAGAUGUAAAAUGCCAGUUAAAUAUAACUGCAAAAAAUACAAACACUUACGCUUUAGCUGCCUAAAAACCAGUUAGCGUGACUUCAACAAGAUUGCUUGUGUCCUGUUAGAAGUCUCAAAAUAACAAGCUACACUAAAGUGAUUGCCUAGCCACUUUAGAAGAGCUUUAUAGACUCGUCAGCUAAGGGCUUGAGUUAUGUGUCACUAGCUGAUCAAAUUAAGACAUAACCUAUGGUUGUAGACAAAUAUGUUGGCAGGUGUUUGGACGUGGGUUCGACUCCCACCAGCUCCAUCC
rfam:Streptococcus ictaluri 707-05 Contig1217055107, whole genome shotgun sequence.